GAUGAACGCUGGCGGCGUGCUUAACACAUGCAAGUCGAACGAGAAGUGAAGACGGUAACCUUCGGGCGGAAGGCUUUAUUUCGAGUGGCGGACGGGUGAGUAACGCGUGGGUAACCUGCCUCAUACAGGGGGAUAACAGUUUGAAACGACUGUUAAUACCGCAUAAGACCACAGCACCGCAUGGUGCGGGGUUAAAUACUCCGGUGGUAUGAGAUGGAUCCGCGUUCGAUUAGCCAGUUGGCGGGGUAACGGACCACCAAAGCGACGAUCGAUAGCCGAUAUGGGAAGAUGGCCGGAAACAUUGGGACUGGGACACGGACCGAACUCCUAGGGGAGGAAGCAGUGGGGAAUAUUGCACAAUGGGGGAGAGCAUGAGGCAGCGAGGUCGCGUGAGUGAAGAAGUAUUGAGGUAUGUAAAGCUGUAUCAGCAGCGAAGAAAAUGACGGUACCUGAGUAAGAAGCGCCGGCUAACUACGUG
rnacentral:rRNA from 1 species